rnacentral:lncRNA from 1 species
AACUUUCGGUUGAUGAUACUCCAUUGUAUCCUGAAGCUUUCACUGUUCAUUUGGAUGAACCAUCUACAGCUACAAUUCCACUCAUGGAUUUAUACCAACAAGUAGAAGAGACUCAAAUUGUCGAUCUUAUUCAACUAGCUACAAAUUGGCUUCAAACUUUUCAACCAAUCUUCUUUCCAAAGGUAAGAAACACCUUAACCUUGGAUUAGAGGCUAUGAUUCAUUUCAUUGUGUUUCCUAGUCCAAUUUAUAAUUUAUCCAUUCCUCCACCUCCACGAAAAACAAACAUCACAACCACCAAGCCUCAACCAAACAUCUCUGCAACCUUUGACACUUCCAUCUUCAAAGAAGGGUGUGUUUCUAAAAAAGGGAAAACCACUUAAAAAGUAUAGGAAUAGAAAGUUCCUUAUCCUAAGUGCAAUAAGCUCGAGAAAGAAGUGAGCAAGACAAUGAAGAAUCUCAAAAAGAUGUCUGAGUGCAAAACGCUUUGGUAGUUGAUUGGAUUACAAGGAAUGUGCUUCCAAAUUUAUAUUUUGUCACUAAAGGAUCUUCCUCGUUUAUCCACUUUUUCAUCCUCAUAUGACUCUUCUCCUUCCAAGUGAAAUGACUUUUUGUUGGAUCCCUCAUCUUUUUGUUGAUGCCAAAUGAGGGAGAAGAAUUAGGGGAAUGUUGGGGAAGUUUUACUUUCUAACUAUUGAGGUAGCUCAAACUUAAUCUUUUUGUUGACUUUUGAUUAGCUCAGUCUUUUGUAAU